rnacentral:tRNA from 1 species
GUUGGGAAAGCUCAUAUGGAUGUAGCACUCGGCUGAUAACCGAGAGGCAGAGGGUUCGAAUCCCUCUCCUAACA